AACAGCCGCGGUAAUUCCAGCUCCAAUAGCGUAUAUUAAAGUUGUUGCAGUUAAAAGCUCGUAGUUGAAUUUCGGGAUCAAUACGUCGGUCGUGCUUAGGUACGUACUGGCGUAAUUGAUUUCUCCCUUCUGACGAACCAUGAUGUCAUUAACUUGGUGUCAUGGGAAAUCAGGACUGUUACUUUGAAAAAUUAGAGUGUUUAAAGCAGGCUCACGCUUGAAUACAUUAGCAUGGAAUAAUGAAAUAGGACGUUCGAUCCUAUUUUGUUGGUUUUAGGAUCAACGUAAUGAUUAAUAGGGAUAGUUGGGGGCAUUAGUAUUCAAUUGUCAGAGGUGAAAUUCUUGGAUUUAUUGAAGACUAACUACUGCGAAAGCAUUUGCCAAGGAUGUUUUCAUUAAUCAAGAACGAAAGUUAGGGGAUCGAAGACGAUCAGAUACCGUCGUAGUCUUAACCAUAAACUAUGCCGACUAGGGAUCGGAUGAUGUUAAUUUUUAAUGACUCAUUCGGCGCCUUAAC
rnacentral:rRNA from 1 species